AGCCUCAGGAAUACUACUGACCCACUCGGAGUCCGGCAUUGCUUUUCUCAAAGCCAGGGGAUGGAAGGGUGUUUUCCAGGAACCCAUUUUGUGGUGGGGUCACCAAGUGAAACUUGAGCUGAUCUGGAUGACUAUCAGAAUCGGUUGCCUCCAACACUCCCCCACACAGACAUGCACUGGCACCUUCAUCUACCACAAACACGGAACCUGACGAAACAAUAUACAGCAUAAUCAGUGCCGUGCCCUGCAGCUCCAGUCUUCCAUGUUGGGGAUGAGCCUUCACGUGUAUCCUGAGCUGAUCUUCUGAGCUGUCCACAUCCUGCACCAGCAGGUGUUCCUCCAUCAGGAAACUACCGCCACCUUCCUCGACCCUCAGCAAGUCUUGCCAUGAGAAGGAGAAUGCAGUUUUGGUGUGAUCGUCCAAAUGAGUAAUAUAUCCCUCCGCUGGAGGUUUGGUCACGUUGAAGAUGAGCUGGGCCUGAGGGGUCUCGUCAUCUUUGGCAUCCAGGGCAGCAGUGGUCAUGGGGGUGAGGAUGAACUGAUCUACCUCCAGGAUGAACGUAGACAUGAAGGCAGCAUUGGGAGGUUGGUUCUGCAUGGCCCCUUGGAUCAGUACUGGUAUCCAGAUACUCUCAGUCUAAGAGAGAAGAAGCAUGGUUCGGGAGGUCUGGUCCCUGAACUCCACCCUGAUUGGGAUGUAAUCAAUCUCAGGUGAUGGAGGACUGAGGUGCUGGUACUUCAGACCUGAAGCUCAGAAUCCGGCAUUGAUUCAGGAACCUCAACGACCAGUUGACCAAGCAUUGGGACAUUGAUCUCAGAGCUGAGAAGACGUACCGUGCAGAUCACAUCGGGCUGGGUUUUAAAGGUAAGGACACUGCUAUUGAUGGCAUUGGAAAGGCUGUAGAACUCAGAAACCACCAGAGGAACAUUUCCAAGCUCUGUGAGGCUCCUUUGAGGUUCUACUACAUGUAUCUUCAGCAGCACAACCUCAACAAAAGUCUCGGUUUCUGUAAACCUAAGUACAAACAUAGAAAAAAGCAUUUGUGAGUAUGGAAAUUACAUUAGGCCUUGGAAAAAUGUUUUUUUGCAGCUCCCAAAAGCCCUAAUUGAAGUAACAGCUGUAACAUGUUGGGGUUGGACAAGAAUAAUGACCACACAAUGUUUCACCUGUAGACCCUCAGCAUGACAGUGUCCUCCUCUAGAAGUGGACUGCCAUUGUGAACAUACUUCACCUCGUCCGGAAAGAACUGGCAGUCAAAAACCUUGAAAAUGGUACAACAACAAUUAUUCUCACAUUUUAUAUAAUGCAUAAGCUAAUUCUGGAUUUGUUUUGUUACCUGAGGAGUGAGUUUUCCCACUCUUUGCGUGAUAGGCUCGGUGAGAACUACUUCAACCUUACAGGCCUCAGAGACCCCGUCCAUGUGGAACUGAAGUUCACCAGCCGUGACAAACACAGACUGGCCUCUGGCUACCCGAAGCCCUGUGUUUAACCGAACUAGACUUGAAGCUUGGACAUGUGGCCACAGGUGACUCAAGGUGAACAAUGUCAAAGCAAAGAUGUCCACCCCCAUCUUUUUGUUCAGUUGCUUGGUAUCCAAGGUUAUUCGCUUCAGAUGAACUGUCUUGCUCUCAUUUCCAACAGUAUGCUGCAUGAAUAUGAGGAAAAUAAAUCAAUAAAGUUGCAUAUUUGUGUAUUUUAGCUUCCAUGGUCCUAUACAUUAUUAUAUAAUAUUAGGCUAUAUAUAUAUACAGUAUAUACUAUAAUAGUAUAUAAAUAAUACUAAAAUAGCACUGGC
rnacentral:lncRNA from 12 species